AAGGGAGACCUAAUUCGGGUAUAAGACGAAAAAAGAGUAGUCGAAACCAAGAAUCAAUCCCAAAAGGUCGGAACGAGGUAUGUGGCUUUCAAACUAGGUUCUGGGUUCACACAAGACCUGAAUCAGGAACAAGGGCUAUUAGCUCAGGUGGUUAGAGCGCACCCCUGAUAAGGGUGAGGUCCCUGGUUCGAGUCCAGGAUGGCCCACCUGCACAGGUGGCAAAAACAAAGAAAAGAAGCGAGGAAUCAGCACCUUAUCUUACUUAUAUAGUAAGAGAGAAUGCUGGCUCUGAGUUCAGAGUCCAGAGGAACCUUGAAAACUGCAUAGAGCUAGGUGAAAAAGCCAAAAAAGAAGACCGCAA
rnacentral:tRNA from 1 species